AGGAGUGUAGCUCAAUUGGUAGAGCGCCGGUCUCCAAAACCGGGGGCUGGGGGUUCGAGCCCCUCCACUCCUGCCA
rnacentral:tRNA from 1 species